GGUUGAGGUAAAAACUGCUUACUAGGGCAGAGAAGGAAGAGAGAUUCAGUAAUGAUAAUAAUUACAUACGUAUAUAUAAAACAAGCUGCUCACCACCUGCUGCAGCAACCCCCCGGCCAACUCCCCCCAACCUGAGUUUCCUCAUAUGAUGUCAUGUGCUAUGGAAUAUCUCUUUGGCCAGUUGAGGUCAGCUGUCCUGGUUCUGCCCCCUCCCAGUUCCUUGUGCCCCCCCCAACCCUCUUGCUGGCAGGACAGUGUGAGAAGCUGAAAAAUUGAAAUAUCUUUGGCUCUGUACGGUGCUGCUCAGCAAAAACUAGAACAUCAGUUUGUUCUUAGCAAUGUUUUUCUCCUUAGGCAAAAGCAUAGCAUCAUACCAGACUCUAUGAAGAAAAUCAUCUCUGUUUCAGCUGUAACCAGGAAAGAGGAACAGCUGGUUGGAAUCAAGCAGCAAGUUCAUCCAGGAGCCUGCUCAGCAAGUUUCCGGACGAGCCUACUUGCUAAUGGGUCUGAUCUGCUGUGGGAGCAGCUACCGGGUUAGGGAUCUGCUGAGCUUGAAGGCGCUGCCCCGCCAGCCUCCCUCUUGUGACUAAUCCCCGUCAUUGCAACUCGGGAGAACGAGAAUUUAUGCUCGCAGCGCUUAUUUAAGAGCACCCUGCCGCAAGGAGACUCUAUAUCUCACGGAGAGCGUAUUGGAAAGCAGGUCAAAGACUUUUCAUUUUCAUGGACUCCACCUGUACUGGUACACGUGGGAGCGACCAGAUAUGCUACUGUUGUAAAACCUCAGAACGCUUUAAUUCAGGCAUCUACUUGCCUGGAUUUGAUGGUGUUAUAGAAAGACUUUUAUUUUAAGAUAGCUGUGGCAAAAAUCUGUGUUUUGCUGAUCCCAAUUUUCAUUUGGACUUGUUCUACUAAUAGCAUUUCCAUCUACUUCAGUGUGUUCUGAAUUAGCUCUUGAAGUAGGAGUGUUAGUCCAUGAGGUAGGACGUAAACAUCAUAUGGCUUUCUACUUUGCUGGAAGAUAAUCUGAUAUAUGAUCAUAGGCAUGGUAUAAGAACACAAUUUAAAAUCACAGAAUCACAGAAUGGCCUGGGU
rnacentral:lncRNA from 1 species